UUUUUUUGUUGUUUUUUUGUUUGUUUGUUUUUGUCUCUGGGCUCUGAAGAUUGAAGUUUAUUAAUUGCUGAGAAGGAAAUAAAAGAGGUGUGGUGGAAAGGUCUUCCAGAACCAGAGGCUAAGCACACAGCAGUACAAAUAUAAAUUCUUUAUUCCAGCUUCCAGAAUUCCUCCUCUUCAGCCUUGCCUGCUCACUGGAAUAAUGAAGCAAUUAAACAGUGGUGUAAAGAAGUUCCAUCGAGUGGUUGAAGUUCAAUAGAAAACAAGGAAAUAGGCUGAUGUAUAUCAAAUACACCAUCGGCACUCUGAGUCCUUCCCAGGUUCACUAAAGGGGGAGGAGGGGACACCGUUUUAGAUUUAAUUUGUACUGUACCUGAUAUGAUUGUGAUAAUUUUCCAAUGAAUAAUUGUUAAUCUUACCUAAUUAAAAUAAUUAUAUGUUAAAUAAAAUAUGCAGAUGUUAAAUUGA